UCUCCAAGAAUCUUCCCAACACAAGGAUCGAAUCCACGUCUCUUAAGCCUCCUUCAUUGGCAGGACUCCACUGUCAUUCACUUUGGUGACAAGCUAGUGGUGACAAAGAUAGCUGAGAAGAAGAGUCAGCCAAGAGUACAUUUCCUAUAAAGCACUUGAUCAGGGACAUCUGUCUUCUGUCUCUAGAACCUUCGGAACAGAAGAUAACAGCGACAAGGAAAGACUGAGAAACUUCUACUUGGAAGAGAUUAAGGAAAAAUAACAGCUUUAUGCAAAAUGGGAUUCUGGAUGGAGUCCUGGAACAGAAUAGGCUCAUUCAUGGAAAAACAAGCAGAAUUCAAUCAAAUGCCAGUUUGGAAACACUAACUUCCUGGAUUUGAUCAUUGUUAAUUGUACCAUCAUUACGUAAGAUGUGAGUAUCAAGGACGCUGGUUGACAGGGAUCAAACUGCUCCACCUUCCCCAUUGCAGUGGAAGUGUGACAUCCUACUCACUGGACCUCCAGAGAAUUCCCAUAUUUCAAAUCCGGUUUUCAAGUCUGGAACCAGUGUAGGUAAUGGAAAGAAUAUGAAUUUUGUGACCCUGUGAAGCAAUCAUUUCUAAUCCCAGCUCUGCUGUGAAAAGCCGUGCCACCUCGAAUAAGUCCCUGAGGCCUUUUGUUUAUUGAUCUAUAAAAUAGAAGUCAAAACACAGCAUUCCCUGUUUUACUGUAAGAACACACCACCUCAAUCAGUUCUGAAAACUAGAGAACUGCGAUUUCUCCAGCUAGUUCCAUGUCAAGGGCGAGUUCCUCUCCAAAUAGACUAGAGGCUUCUUUUGCCCCGGCUUCCAUGAAUAUCAAGCACAACCCCUCCGUAUUUUGUCAGGGAAACGGAACACUGCCUUUUAUAAGAGAGCGCCUGAGUGGCAGGCUGCCCGGCUCCCUGUGGGCUCUCCCUGUGCUUCCUCUAGGCUUGUAUUGAUAUCUGCAUGCAAAUGUUGGCUCAGCUCCCCCUUUGCAGGCAAUAGAUUGCUUCUGCUGAAGCUGCCAGUGCAAUAUUUUGAAAAUAGACAUCCACUUCUAGAAGAAAAGAGAUCCAAAUAAGGUUUUUUUCUUUAACAUUAAAAAUCAUUAGAAUAUCAGGGUCUUUCAGGUCAGCAUGAAUUUUGAAGCUGUUCCAUAAGUCCCUCUUGUCAGGACCACCCAUUGGUAUAGAGGCAAGUGUCUUUUGGGGGAAAAAAAAAAAAUCGGUCGAGAUGCUCAUGUCUGGGCAAAGAAUAUGGACCAGGUCUAGCCAAGCGCUCUAAGCUUUUCAGUUUCACACUCUUAACCUUGUGUUCCAGGGGGCUCAGUAGUAAAGAAUCCGCCUACCAACGCAGGAGACUCAAGAGACAUGGGUUUGAUCCCUGGGUCAGAAAGAUCCCCUGGAGGAGGAAAUGGCAACUCAUUCCAUUAUUCCUGCCUGGAAAUAUUCCAUGAACAGAGGAGCCUGGAAAGGAAACAGCCCAUGCGGUUGCAAAGCGCCAGACACGACUUAGUGACUGAACACAAUCUUGUGUUACAGGUUGAGUCUCAUCUUCCCCAAAUUCACGUGUUGAGGUAUCAGCCCCUAGUCCCACAGAACGUGGACUUAUUUGGAAAUAGUCUUCACAGAUAUAAUGAGUUACGAUGAAGUCAUACUGAAGUAGAAGGGGCCGACAUCUGACAUGGCUAUGCCCUUAUAAAAAGGGGAAAUAUUUACCCAGACAUGUUCACAAGGAGAAGGGAAGAUGAAGGCAGAGAUUAGGGUGAUGCUUGUAACAAGCCGGGGAACACCAGAGAUCAUCAGCAAAACACCAGAAGCCAGGGGAGAGGCUCUGAGGUCCCUUCCCAGGGCUCCCUCAGAGCCCUGGGAAGGGACCCAUCCCCACCAGCAUCUUCAUCUGGGGCCUUCAGCCUCCACACUGAGACGCUACAUCUCCGUUGUUUAAAUUGUCCAGCCUGUGGUACUUUGUUACAGCGGCUCUGGAAAAUGAAUACCCUUUGGAAGUGCCUAACGGUCCUGGAAGUGAAAGACUGUGACAGGGGAAGGGCACCCACAGAAAUCAUUCAGUGUGAUCAUUUCAUGAUUCAUGAAGAAAUAGUAUCUGGAAUCUUCCUCCAAUACUUAGAGGGGAGGGGUUGACUAAGAAGACUUGGCUCCUGGUUACCAGGUGGUGUGCCUUUUUGCUACUUGGCUGUACUGUUAGUGAGGAGAUACAUGGGGAAAGGUUAAUGUCAUUCAAUAUAAACAUGCCAUCAACCUAGAAAAAUUCAGACUUCCUGUUCAGUCCACGGAGGCGUAGAGGCACCCUACCCAACCCUGUCCGGACUUUUCCUAGGUGUGUGCCUGCCCCUCUUAUGAGUCCUGAGCAGGCUAUCCUGCUUCUCAGAGAAGCUGUAACUAGAAGGCUCCUCCCCCAGAUUCUCAGAUGUCCCUUUCACUUUCUUUCAGUCUUUGCUCAAAUACCACUGUUUCUCCCUUCCUUAU